UUCGUGGUUUUGCCUUGGAUGAGGAUCUGAGCGAAGUCGUUUCCGCGUGUUUCUUGUGAGGCGGUAAUCAUGUCAUCAGUGGAUGACAAUGGGCCAAGCCAUCUAAAGCUGGACGAAGCCCUGUCAUUACUGUACCCUCCAAGGGAACAUGACCAGAAACAAAGGUUGUCUGUUAGAUGGUUGGUAAAGGUUGUCUGUUAGAUGGUUGGUAAAGGUUGUCUGUUAGAUGGUUGGUAAAGGUUGUCUGUUAGAUGGUUGGUAAAGGUUGUCUGUUAGAUGGUUGGUAAAGGUUGUCUGUUAGAUGGUUGGUGAUGGUUGGUAAAGGCUGCCUGUUAGAUGGUUGGUAAAGGUUGUCUGUUAGAUGGUUGGUAAAAGUUGUCUGUUAGAUGGUUGGUAAAGGUUGUCUGUUAGAUGGUUGGUAAAGGUUGUCUGUUAGAUGGUUGGUAAAGGCUGUCUGUUAGAUGGUUGGUAAAGGUUGUCUGUUAGAUGGUUGGUAAAGGUUGUCUGUUAGAUGGUUGGUAAAGGUUGUCUGUUAGAUGGUUGGUGAUGGUUGGUAAAGGUUGUCUGUUAGAUGGUUGGUAAAGGUUGUCUGUUAGAUGGUUGGUAAAGGCUGUCUGUUAGAUGGUUGGUAAAGGUUGUCUGUUAGAUGGUUGGUAAAGGUUGUCUGUUAGAUGGUUGGUAAAGGUUGUCUGUUAGAUGGUUGGUAAAGGUUGUCUGUUAGAUGGUUGGUAAAGGCUGUCUGUUAGAUGGUUGGUAAAGGUUGUCUGUUAGAUGGUUGGUAAAGGUUGUCUGUUAGAUGGUUGGUAAAGGUUGUCUGUUAGAUGGUUGGUAAAGGCUGUCUGUUAGAUGGUUGGUAAAGGUUGUCUGUUAGAUGGUUGGUAAAGGUUGUCUGUUAGAUGGUUGGUGAUGGUUGGUAAAGGUUGUCUGUUAGAUGGUUGGUAAAGGCUGUCUGUUAGAUGGUUGGUAAAGGUUGUCUGUUAGAUGGUUGGUAAAGGUUGUCUGUUAGAUGGUUGGUGAUGGUUGGUAAAGGUUGUCUGUUAGAUGGUUGGUAAAGGCUGUUAGAUGGUUGGUAAAGGUUGUCUGUUAGAUGGUUGGUAAAGGUUGUCUGUUAGAUGGUUGGUAAAGGUUGUCUGUUAGAUGGUUGGUAAUAUACAAAAGUGAAAUAAACAAUAAAAAUUAACAGUAAACAUUACACAUACAGAAAUUUCAAAACAAUAAAGACAUUACAAAUGUCAUAUUAUAUAUAUAUACAGUGUUGUAACAAUGUACAAAUUGUUAAAGUACACAAGGGAAAAUAAAUAAGCAUAAAUAUGGGUUGUAUUUACAAUGGUGUUUGUUCUUCACUGGUUGCCCUUUUCUUGUGGCAACAGGUCACAAAUCUUGCUGCUGUGAUGGUGCUGGUCCUGGUGACUGGACCUUUUUUGGAACACCAUUAUUUUGGUCUUACUGAGAUUUACUGUCAGGGCGCAGGUCUGUCAGGGCCCAGGUCUGACCGAACCUGUGCAUAAGAUCUAGGUGCUGCUGUACGUCCUCCUUGGCUGGUGACAGAAGCACCAGAUCAUCAGCAAACAGCAGACAUUUGACUUCGGAUUCUAGUAGGGUGAGGCCAGGUGCUCUCUCUCUCUCUCUCUCUCUCUCUCUCUCUCUCUCUCUCUCUCUCUCUCUCUCUCUCUGUCUCUCUCUCUCUCUCUCUCUCUCUCUCUCUCUCUCUCUCUCUCUCUCUCUCUCUCUCUGUCUCUCUCUCUCUCUCUCUCUCUCUCUGUCUCUCUCUCUCUCUC